UGUUGUGCUCUCCUAUAAAUAACACAAAACUUGUGUCCGUUCUGAGUUUAGGCUGUACAGUCACAUUUUCUUGUCUUUUACCAAACUUUACUAUUUUAAAAGGCUUUUGCAGUGAGAGAAAGCCCUACCCACUAAAGCGAAGACUGAGGGGUGAGAUGCCACCAGGCCACCUGAUGGCCCUGCUUAACAGAAGGUGAAAAGGGAAGGGCUCUGCCACUGUCACCACAACCUCUGGCAGCCUGCUGGGUCAACCCAGAGCACAGUGGAGUCCUCUCAGGGAGCUGAAGGGAGAGACUGCAGGGCUUUCAGCAAGUACCCCUAGUCACAGUGGUGAAAAUGAGCAAAACCAAUACUACUCUAUGUCAACAUGAAAUCCAGAGGUGGAAUGAAAGGGGAAAAGAAAGGAAGAAAAAGAAGAACAAUCCAGGAAGAAAGCAAUUUGUUCUAGAGAUUGAAUGCACUGUCAAUCAAAUCUAAGAGCUCUUCAAUCUGAAAAUUGCUCCAUCUAAUAACAUAAAAAAGCAGAGUUCAU